GAUUCUGAGCUUAGGCUGAAUAACUACUAUGCCUCAGUUACUGCAUUCCUAUGAGUUAGAGCUGCUAUUGGAAUCUGUUCUACACUCUCAAAAUCCAAGCUCUUCCCAAGACAACUUGGUAACACCCACAUUCACAUGUAGACACGUGUUUUCCUAGGCAUUUUGCUUUCACGAUGCUGGCAGCAUCAGAGAGGCACACGUUUCCAGUCAAUCAUUUAUGGGAUCAGAAGCAUGGACGACAAACACUUUGUUGAGUACCGGGUGGUUGAGCUUGGCUGCUAGGCAGAUUCGGCAAUUCAGCCCAAGCUGUGUGCCACACCCAUUGCUAUUUCAGCUCCUGCCUUCUUUCCAGCUGUUCAUUGAUCCCACUUCCUCACAGGCUCAUCCUCCAUUCAUAUGAAGAUAAUGUAAUUGCUUAUUUCAGAGUGAGAGCAAAGAAAACUGACUCCUCCUCUUUGAAGAGCCACUGAAAAGCCCUCAAUUUUAUAUGGUGUUAAUCAGGCUUGAAAGAAGUGACAGAAAACCAAUAGUCAGUCUUGGAAAAAACUGCUAGAAAAAACACUCCCGGAAGGCUUAUUGGUUUCUUCAGAACCGCUGCUUUGGUUCCUGCUCCAGAAAGGACUGGAUGAGAGGAGACAGGGUUCACAGAUCAAGCCCUGUUGUUUCUGCCUCAACGUUGA